GUGGGGGAUAUUGCACAAUGGGGGAAACCCUGAUGCAGCGACGCCGCGUGAAGGAAGACGUACUUCGGUAUGUAAACUUCUAUCAGCAGGGAAGAAGAUGACGGUACCUGACUAAGAAGCCCCGGCUAACUACGUGCCAGCAGCCGCGGUAAUACGUAGGGGGCAAGCGUUAUCCGGAUUUACUGGGUGUAAAGGGAGCGUAGACGGUGAAGCAAGUCUGAUGUGAAAACCCGGGGCUCAACUCCGGGAUUGCAUUGGAAACUGUUUUACUUGAGUGCUGGAGGGGCAAGCGGAAUUCCUGGUGUAGCGGUGAAAUGCGUAGAUAUCAGGAAGAACACCGGUGGCGAAGGCGGCUUGCUGGACAGUAACUGACGUUGAGGCUCGAAAGCGUGGGGAGCAAACAGGAUUAGAAACCCUUGUAGUCCU
rnacentral:rRNA from 1 species